ensembl:rRNA 5S_rRNA 5S ribosomal RNA
GUGUAUGGCCACACCUACCUGAACAUGCCCCAUCUCAUCUGAUCUUGGAAGCUAAGCAGGGUGGGGCCUGGUUAGUACUUGGACAGGAGAGAAUCUGAGAUUGUUUUCCUCU